UCUACGGGUGGCUGCAGUGCGGAAUAUUGGUCCAUGUGCGAGAGCCUGAACCAGCCAAGUCGCGUGAAGGAUGACGGCCCUACGGGUUGUACACUUCUUUUGUCAGGGAGCAAUUGAGUCCACGUGUGGGCUUAGCGAGAGUAACUGAAGAAAAAGCAUCGGCUAACUCCGUGCCAGCAGCCGCGGUAAUACGGAGGAUGCGAGUGUUAUCCGGAGGUAUUGGGUUUAAAGGGUGCGUAGGCGGAAUAUCAAGUCAGCGGUAAAAAUUCGGGGCUCAACCCCGUCGUGCCGUUGAAACUGAUGUUCUUGAGUGGGCGAGAAGUAUGCGGAAUGCGUGGUGUAGCGGUGAAAUGCAUAGAUAUCACGCAGAACUCCGAUUGCGAAGGCAGCAUACCGGCGCCCAACUGACGCUGAAGCACGAAAGCGUGGGUAUCGAACAGGAUUAGAUACCCUUGUAGUC
rnacentral:rRNA from 1 species